CCUAACCUAGUUUAAAGCCAUUCUCCCUGACAGAAGUAAGAUUGAUAAUUUAGGUUAAACGUAGCAGGGUUAUACGUCUAUGUGUCAUGCAACAAAUAACAUGCAUUUGGCUAAUAUUUAGACUAAAGUCAAUAUUAUCUCUUAUCACUGCAAAUGACCCCUAAAAUGCAGAGAACAGUACACACUAUACUCAGUUUAAAGAGGAGUUCAUUAGCUAGACCACACAAUAUAGAUGCUGGGGUACCACUCCAUUUCUAUUCGUUUUCAUCAUCAAGAAUCAGCAGAAUUAGAUUGAAGACUCCAUCUCUACCAUCCCAGAGGCAUAUUAUGCUGUUGUCCCUUGACUGCAGUAACCAUUGCUCUAAUGUACAUAAUUGGCAAUUUAAUAGAUUCAGAGCAUUAAAAGCUGCUUAUUUGCCUCUUGCAAUGUAAAGAAUGCUUCGAACCUGGUAAUAUGAGCUCCAAAUGCACUGAUUGAAUGGUUGCGAUAUAAAACCAGAUUUAUUAACCCAUUUUAUAGGUUUAUAAUUGUUUUAAAGUAAUGGCAUUUUCAAAGUCUGACUGCUUAUUGCUAUCACUUUAUGCAUAGACAUAAUUAAAAUGAAUGUUCCAAACAGUUUGAACACAUAGUGUGGUUUUUCUUUUUUUAAUAGUUUCAGAUACAGCAUAUCCACAUGAGCUCUUGUAAUUAAUUGAACUUAUCAGCAUGCAACAUAAGCCUAAUCAACCCCAGCAACCUUGUGAUAAGCUUAGCUCAUGGCCGAAAGGUCUCCAACCUGGAGCAGAUGUUCCAAAGGUUAUAUCAAAGUUGAAGCUAAAGUGUUAGUUUAGACAGAUUGGAUUUGCAGCAGUGUGGAGGGGUUGGAGAUGUUUCCUUUGUGAUUUCGGCAGGAUUUGGACCAUCAGCGGACAUGCCUGGAGGAGGACAGUAGCUGUCUGCGAGCCAAUAUCCAGGAGCUGAAAACUGACAUUAGACCCCUCACAUAAGUGAUCCAUCGCACUCAACACAUGCUCAGCCUGAUUGUGUUUUGCUGGAUGAUAAACACAGGGGAGGAUGGACUGGCAGAGGAGCACAGACCCGAAGAGUCCAAAGCCAGAGGACCUAUGGAGGCUCAGGUGGAAGAUCUGAGGAAACAGCUCAAGGCCAAGAGCAGGAUUAUUCAAAGUCUGAAAGAGGAAAUUAAGACUCCUUUGUUCCAGAGUGCACAAAAGAAGCAUGAGGUGGUAUGAGUAAAAAGAACAGGGAGUUAAGCAUUUGACCACUACAAGAGGGUCUCCAAGAGAAGGCACACACACUUUGGUAAUAGUUGCAGGCCAGCGAGGAGAAAGUUAAUAGCCCGGGCUUAGACGUCAGCCUGCUCAAGUCCAAAUUACAGGAAAAGACAGAACAAUCUCAACAGCUGCGAGAUCAAAUUCUCAAACAGCGGGAGGCUCUAUGUAGGGCAAGCCAAACUCUCAAAGACCCCAGGAAAGCAGCUGGCAAUAAGGUAAAAAGAGCCUCUCUCUCUUUC